rnacentral:rRNA from 1 species
AGUGAACGCUGGCGGUAGGCCUAACACAUGCAAGUCGAACGGCAGCACAGUAAGAGCUUGCUCGUACGGGUGGCGAGUGGCGGACGGGUGAGGAAUACAUCGGAAUCUACUUUUUCGUGGGGGAUAACGUAGGGAAACUUACGCUAAUACCGCAUACGACCUACGGGUGAAAGCAGGGGAUCUUCGGACCUUGCGCGAUUGAAUGAGCCGAUGUCGGAUUAGCUAGUUGGCGGGGUAAAGGCCCACCAAGGCGACGAUCCGUAGCUGGUCUGAGAGGAUGAUCAGCCACACUGGAACUGAGACACGGUCCAGACUCCUACGGGAGGCAGCAGUGGGGAAUAUUGGACAAUGGGCGCAAGCCUGAUCCAGCCAUACCGCGUGGGUGAAGAAGGCCUUCGGGUUGUAAAGCCCUUUUGUUGGGAAAGAAAGGCAGCAGGUUAAUACCCCGCUGUUCUGACGGUACCCAAAGAAUAAGCACCGGCUAACUUCGUG